rnacentral:lncRNA from 1 species
CUUUUCUCCUGUUGGUUGCCGUUUUUCUUAAUAGUGUGUUGCCACAGUAUCGGCAGUUCUGUGGAGUCCCUGCUAUUGAUUAUGUUUUCGAAGCCUCUUCGUCUUUCGGUCUCCAGUGUCUCUCUUGCGGGUCCUUGUUUCGUGUUGAUUGUGCGUUUUAGUGGCUCGGCCCGGUCCCACUGUGCUUCUAUGUUCUCUGCGGGGGGUUCUUUGGCUAAUGCUGUUGUCGUCUUUGCUUUUCUUAGGUCAUUUUUGUGCUCGUCUGGCCUUUCCUCCAUUGUACGGCUCGUGAGGCCUAUAUAUUUACUUGCGAUUUUGCUGUUCUUGUUAAUAAGUGGAAUGCUGUAGACACCCAGUUUAUACCGUGAUCAACCUGGCCAAUAGUGAAGUAGCUAUAAAAAGAAAUCCGUCUGUAUUUGAGUGCUUACGUAGUAGUAAAGACAA